rnacentral:rRNA from 1 species
AUUGAACGCUGGCGGCAGGCUUAACACAUGCAAGUCGAGCGGGGUGAUGGUGCUUGCACUAUCACUUAGCGGCGGACGGGUGAGUAAUGCUUAGGAAUCUGCCUAUUAGUGGGGGACAACAUCUCGAAAGGGAUGCUAAUACCGCAUACGUCCUACGGGAGAAAGCAGGGGAUCGCUCUUGACCUUGUGCUAAUAGAUGAGCCUAAAUGGGAUUAGCUGGUUGGUGGGGUAAAGGCCUACCAAGGCGACGAUCUGUAGCGGGUCUGAGAGGAUAAUCCGCCACACUGGGACUGAGAAACGGCCCAGAUUCCUACGGGAGGCAGCAGUGGGGAAUAUUGGACAAUGGGGGGAACCCUGAUCCAGCCAUGCCGCGUGUGUGAAGAAGGCCUUAUGGUUGUAAAGCACUUUAAGCGAGGAGGAGGCUCUUUUGGUUAAUCCCCAAGAUGAGUGGACGUUACUCGCAGAGUAAGCACCGGCUAACUCUGUGGCAGCCGCCGCAGUAA